GAAUCACCAAAAGCAGGGAAGAGUGGGAAAAGUUCAAAAGAAGGACAAGACACAGUAGAAUCAGAGCAAAUUUCCGUCAGGAAAAACAGCCUUGUUGCUGUCCCGUCUACAGUAUCUACUAAAAUAAAAGUACCAGUCUCUCAGCCCAUAGUGAAGAAAGACAAACGGCAAAAUUCUUCAAGGUUUAGCGCAAGCAAUAAUAGAGAACUUCAAAAACUACCAUCCUUAAAAGGCACAGUGCCCACUUGUUCCGUGGCACAGCCCCAGAGCUCCUGUUGAAGAAACAGACUCCAGGACUGACUUUCCACUUGAUUUUAGGAGCUCGCACAUCCCGAGAGAUUCAUGUUCAAGCUGCAUUUUAGACAUAGCUGGCAAGAGUAUUUUCGUGCUAAACGUAAACUUACUAUUGAUAAAGAUUCUUAAUGAGUAAUUCUUAGGAUUUAGUACA
rnacentral:sRNA from 1 species